CCUACGGGAGGCAGCAGUAGGGAAUAUUGGGCAAUGGAGGCAACUCUGACCCAGCCAUGCCGCGUGCAGGAAGACGGUCCUCUGGAUUGUAAACUGCUUUUGAAUGGGAGGAAUGUGCUCCUUGCGAGGGGUAAUGACGGUACCAUUAGAAUAAGCCACGGCUAACUACGUGCCAGCAGCCGCGGUAAUACGUAGGUGGCGAGCGUUAUCCGGAUUUAUUGGGUUUAAAGGGUGCGUAGGCGGCUUAAUAAGUCGGUGGUUAAAAGUAGCAGCUUAACUGUUUUACAUGCCAUCGAUACUGUUGAGCUUGAGAUAUUUGGAGGCAGCUAGAAUUUCCGGUGUAGCGGUGAAAUGCAUAGAUACCGGAAGGAAUACCAAUUGCGAAGGCAGGUUGCUACGAAUAAACUGACGCUGAUGCACGAAAGCGUGGGGAUCAAACAGGAUUAGAUACCCUGGUAGUCCACGCCGUAAACGAUGAUUACUAGUUGUUGGGGUUUAAGCCUUCUAGUGACCGAACGGAAACCGGAACGUAAGUAAGUACCGUACCGUACGGGUAGGUACGGCCGGCCGACGGUACGGUAAACGUUAAAGGUAAAGUUAGUUACGGUACGUUGAGACGUUGCGACGGACGACGACGAGGGAGGAGG
rnacentral:rRNA from 1 species